UUUAAUAAAACUAUUUUUAUAAAAAAAUUGUAUGUUGUCAUUAUUUUACAUUAAACAUUCAAACAUCAAUAUUGUUCAUACAUCAACACAAUAUUCUUCCAUUCAUAUAAAAAGUCAGUGUCAUGUUGUGUGAGUGAAGAAACUUUUAAAAAUUAUUUUUAAAACUAACUUUCUAUAGCAGAAUUACUAAAAUAUUUAAUAUUUAAUAUGUAGAAUAUACUCCAAAGAAACCUGAUUGGAUAGUUCAUGAAGAAACAAGGAAACGAGAAGCUGAGAAACCUCAACCACCUACAUUUAGAGCACCUCUUAGGGAUGUCUUUGCAAAAACUAUUGGAAGUUCAACAACGAUUGAAUGUAUAAUAAGUGGAAAUCCUAGACCACAAGUAACUUGGUAUUUUAAUGACCGGGAAAUAGAUGUGACAACAGGUCGUUAUCGAGUUACCUACUUAGAAGAUCGUAUUCUUCUGCAUAUUCUUCGAAUUGAUUAUGAUGUGGAAGGAAGAUAUACAUGCAAGGCGGUAAAUGAAAAUGGUGAACAAA